AAUAAACCAAUUUUUCAUUUUUUACCUAUAAUUUUUGACUCAACGUCUUAUUUAAAUUUUUUUGCGAUUGAUAUUUUUGUUUUUAUUGAAUGAUAAAUCAUGAAUAGUGCUUUACGUGUGACUAAUUUUUUUCUAAUUUUCUAAAAAAAUUUUAAAUAAGACGGAUAGUUAAACGUUAGAUAUGGAAACCGAAG
rnacentral:pre_miRNA from 1 species